rnacentral:rRNA from 1 species
GACGAACGCUGGCGGCGUGCCUAAUACAUGCAAGUCGAACGAGAGCGACCGGUGCUUGCACUGGUCACUCUAGUGGAGAACGUGUGAGUAACACGUGGGUCACCUGCUCAUCAUAGGGGGAUAACAUUCGGACACGGAUGCUAACCCCGCAUAAGUCUUUGCACCGCAUGGUUUGUAGGAGAAUAUCGGCGCAAGCUUCUGCUCUUGGAUGUACCCGCGGUGCUUUUGCUAGUUGGUGUGGUCAAGGCUCAGCAAGGUAGUGAUGCAUAGCCGAUCGGCGAGGCGGAUCGGCCACAUGGGAACGGAGACAGCGCCCAAACGCCUACGGGAGGGAGCAGUAGGGAAUGGGCCGCAAUGGACGCAAGUCUGACGGAGCAACGCCGAGUGAGAGAAGAAGGUUUUCGGAGCGGAAAACUCGGUUUUGAGAGAAGAACAAGUGCUAGAGGAACUGUUGGCGCCGUGACGGUAUCUAACCAGAAAGCCACGGCUAACUACGUG